AAUGGGUCAGCGACUUAUAUUCUGUAGCAAGGUUAACCGAAUAGGGGAGCCGAAGGGAAACCGAGUCUUAACUGGGCGUUAAGUUGCAGGGUAUAGACCCGAAACCCGGUGAUCUAGCCAUGGGCAGGUUGAAGGUUGGGUAACACUAACUGGAGGACCGAACCGACUAAUGUUGAAAAAUUAGCGGAUGACUUGUGGCUGGGGGUGAAAGGCCAAUCAAACCGGGAGAUAGCUGGUUCUCCCCGAAAGCUAUUUAGGUAGCGCCUCGUGAAUUCAUCUCCGGGGGUAGAGCACUGUUUCGGCAAGGGGGUCAUCCCGACUUACCAACCCGAUGCAAACUGCGAAUACCGGAGAAUGUUAUCACGGGAGACACACGGCGGGUGCUAACGUCCGUCGUGAAGAGGGAAACAACCCAGACCGCCAGCUAAGGUCCCAAAGUCAUGGUUAAGUGGGAAACGAUGUGGGAAGGCCCAGACAGCCAGGAUGUUGGCUUAGAAGCAGCCAUCAUUUAAAGAAAGCGUAAUAGCUCACUGGUCGAGUCGGCCUGCGCGGAAGAUGUAACGGGGCUAAACCAUGCACCGAAGCUGCGGCAGCGACGCUUAUGCGUUGUUGGGUAGGGGAGCGUUCUGUAAGCCUGUGAAGGUGUGCUGUGAGGCAUGCUGGAGGUAUCAGAAGUGCGAAUGCUGACAUAAGUAACGAUAAAGCGGGUGAAAAGCCCGCUCGCCGGAAGACCAAGGGUUCCUGUCCAACGUUAAUCGGGGCAGGGUGAGUCGACCCCUAAGGCGAGGCCGAAAGGCGUAGUCGAUGGGAAACAGGUUAAUAUUCCUGUACUUGGUGUUACUGCGAAGGGGGGACGGAGAAGGCUAUGUUGGCCGGGCGACGGUUGUCCCGGUUUAAGCGUGUAGGCUGGUUUUCCAGGCAAAUCCGGAAAAUCAAGGCUGAGGCGUGAUGACGAGGCACUACGGUGCUGAAGCAACAAAUGCCCUGCUUCCAGGAAAAGCCUCUAAGCAUCAGGUAACAUCAAAUCGUACCCCAAACCGACACAGGUGGUCAGGUAGAGAAUACCAAGGCGCUUGAGAGAACUCGGGUGAAGGAACUAGGCAAAAUGGUGCCGUAACUUCGGGAGAAGGCACGCUGAUAUGUAGGUGAAGUCCCUCGCGGAUGGAGCUGAAAUCAGUCGAAGAUACCAGCUGGCUGCAACUGUUUAUUAAAAACACAGCACUGUGCAAACACGAAAGUGGACGUAUACGGUGUGACGCCUGCCCGGUGCCGGAAGGUUAAUUGAUGGGGUCAGCGCAAGCGAAGCUCUUGAUCGAAGCCCCGGUAAACGGCGGCCGUAACUAUAACGGUCCUAAGGUAGCGAAAUUCCUUGUCGGGUAAGUUCCGACCUGCACGAAUGGCGUAAUGAUGGCCAGGCUGUCUCCACCCGAGACUCAGUGAAAUUGAACUCGCUGUGAAGAUGCAGUGUACCCGCGGCAAGACGGAAAGACCCCGUGAACCUUUACUAUAGCUUGACACUGAACAUUGAGCCUUGAUG
rnacentral:rRNA from 2 species